rnacentral:rRNA from 1 species
UACGUAGGGUGCAAGCGUUUGUCCGGAAUUAUUGGGUCGUAAGAGCUCGUGAGGCGGUCUGUCGCGUCUGCUGGUGAAAACCUCAGGGCUUAACCCUGAGCUUGCAGUCGGGUACGGGGCAGACUAAGGAGUGGUGGUAGGGGAGACUGGAAUUCCUGGUGAUAGCGGUGAAAUGCGCAGAUAUCAGGAGGAACACCGAGUGGCGAAGGCAGGUCUCUGGGCACUACUGACGCUGGAGAAGCGGAAAGCACGGGGGAGCGAACAGG